rnacentral:rRNA from 1 species
GGUUUGGUGAUCAUAGCGUAAGCAAAACACCCGGUCCCAUCCCGAACCCGGCAGUUAAGUGCUACUGCGCCGAUGGUACUGCGUCUUAAGGCGUGGGAGAGUAGGUCAUCGCCAAACCU